AUGCUCCCUGAGACCUGGCAGCCCUUCGAAGCGAGCAUAUGGUCUGCUCAGCUCUCGCAGUUCUGGUGCACGCAAGUUCUUGUUAUCCAAUUCCUGCUGACAACAGAGGAAGAGGCACAAGUCAGCUCAGAAAAUGAACGACUAGAAGGCUGGGGACACAAGCUGGACCUGGAAGAAGAAACUUCCGUGCAGAGAUGUGACUGCAGUGUCAACACUGUGCCAGGGUUUCUUUACAGAUGAAAACUACAGAUUAUUCUAAAAUCCAGUAACAACUCAAUACCAGCAA
rnacentral:lncRNA from 1 species